rnacentral:rRNA from 1 species
CCUACGGGAGGCUGCAGUAGGGAAUAUUGCUCAAUGGGGGAAACCCUGAAGCAGCAACGCCGCGUGGAGGAUGAAGGUUUUCGGAUUGUAAACUUCUUUUGUUAGAGAAGAUAAUGACGGUAUCUAACGAAUAAGCACCGGCUAACUCCGUGCCAGCAGCCGCGGUAAUACGGAGGGUGCAAGCGUUACUCGGAAUCACUGGGCGUAAAGAGGGCGUAGGCGGGAUAGCAAGUCAGAUGUGAAAUCCUAUGGCUUAACCAUAGAACUGCAUUUGAAACUGUUAUGCUAGAGUAUGGGAGAGGUAGGUGGAAUUCUUGGUGUAGGGGUAAAAUGCGUAGAGAUCAAGAGGAAUACUCAUUGCGAAGGCGACCUACUGGAACAUAACUGACGCUGAUGCGCGAAAGCGUGGGGAGCAAACAGGAUUAGAUACCCGAGUAGUC